rnacentral:lncRNA from 1 species
GGCACGUUGAGAGUGAUGCCAGGAAUCAAGAUGGCCGCCUGGGACCGCUCUCAGCCCCUUCGGCCUCUACCUGAAGAGCCACGCCCCGUCUGCUACACCCAACUGAUUGGUUCCUCAAUCACAGAGAGGAAAGGCAACAUGAGGAUGACGUCAGUUACAAAUAUGGCGUUUUGGACGGGCUCGAUAGUUUGCUUGGCCUCUACUCAAGGAAUGCUGAUGGUAUAGCAAGAAGGUAUUCUGAGCAUUAUAUCAAUGGGGAAGUUCUAGAUCUUUUGCAAAGCAGGAGCAAGCUGCCCUGUUGUGAGCUCUCCGGUGGAGAGCCCCACAUGGCAAGAAAAUGAGAAGCCCCCUGAACAGACAAGAGCUGAGGCCCAGGAUACAAUAUCCUGAAAAAAACUGAAUCCUGCUGACAGUUGCCCAAGUGAAGCUGGAAGUGGAUCUUUCUGCAGUGGAUCCUUGAGAUGACUGUAGCCCUGGCUGACAACUUGAUUGCUGCCUGUGAAGGACCCUGAACCAGAGGACUCAGCGAAAUUGUGCCCAGAUUCCUGACCUACAGAGGCAGUGAGAUAAUAAAUGCUGUUGAGGUCACAAAGUUUUGAGGUAUUUGUUAAUACAGCAAUGGAUACUUAAUACAGCUUCCUACAUGGUCUCCCUCCUUCGACCUUUACACUACAAUCUGUCGUCCACACAGCAGUCAGAGAUCCUUUUAAAACAUAAGUCAGAUCAUCAUGACACUCACCUCCCUGCUAAGUGUCCUGCAAGGCCUUUCACGGUCUGAUCCCCUAUCCUUU